rnacentral:rRNA from 1 species
UACGUAGGGCGCAAGCGUUGUCCGGAAUUAUUGGGCGUAAAGAGCUCGUAGGCGGUCUGUCGCGUCGGCUGUGAAAACCCGGGGCUCAACCCCGGGCCUGCAGUCGAUACGGGCAGACUAGAGUGCGGUAGGGGAGACUGGAAUUCCUGGUGUAGCGGUGAAAUGCGCAGAUAUCAGGAGGAACACCGGUGGCGAAGGCGGUUCUCUGGGCCUUACCUGACGCUGAGGAGCGAAAGCGUGGGGAGCGAACAGG